CCAGCGCCUUUCCUUUCUCCAGCUUCUGCUCUGCCCCAAGAGUGGUCGCCUUCGUGGCAGGGCACGACUCUCUCCCAGCUCGGGUCGCCGCCCACAUUAGUGUGGGGCCCUGCGGCCUAGCGUCCCUCACCAGAGGCCUCCCCUUGCCUAGCUGGACCGCCGAGGGACAUCGACGAGUAUCCUCCUCCUGCUGUCCCCGGCUUCGCCUGCCGCCCCUAACCGGCCAGUCAAGAUGGCCGCCGCUGGGUGAGAACAUCAGCUUUCCAAACCAGAUGUGGUAUCUCAGUUAGAGGAGGCAGAAGAUUUCUGGCCAGUGGAGAGAGGAAUUCCUCAAGACACCAUUCCAGCAUUCACUGGCAAACAGCACUGUGAGGAAGACAGCUGCCUAAGGCCUGUUUGUCACCCUGGAAGGGAAGCAGCAGAGAGGUAGAAGUAUCCUGAGAGAAGAAAAUAGUGUCAAGAGGGAGAAAGCAGCAGCUCCCAUCAAGCCCUUACCACAUGCUGUGCCUGGACUUUGGUAUCUCAUCACUUUGGGUGAAGAAACUCAGGCUCAAGAAGUUAAUCUCUCUUGAUUAAACCCCUUGCUUUG
rnacentral:lncRNA from 1 species